AGGACGAACGCUGGCGGCGUGCUUAACACAUGCAAGUCGAGCGGAAAGGCCCCUUCGGGGGUACUCGAGCGGCGAACGGGUGAGUAACACGUGGGUAAUCUACCCCUGACAUCGGGAUACUCCGGAGAAAUCCGGCCCAAUACCGAAUAAGGUGCGGAGACGUUGGUCGCCGUACCAAAGGUAGCUUCGGCCUCCGGUCAGGGAUGAGCCCGCGGCCCAUUAGCUUGUUGGUGGGGUAACGGCCUACCAAGGCGACGAUGGGUAGCUGGUCUGAGAGGACGAUCAGCCACACUGGGACUGAGACACGGCCCAGACUCCUACGGGAGGCAGCAGUGGGGAAUAUUGCGCAAUGGGCGAAAGCCUGACGCAGCGACGCCGCGUGAGGGAUGAAGGCCUUCGGGUCGUAAACCUCUUUCAGCAGGGAAGAAGCGAAAGUGACGGUACCUGCAGAAGAAGCACCGGCUAACUACGUGCCAGCAGCCGC
rnacentral:rRNA from 1 species